rnacentral:tRNA from 1 species
GGGCGGUAGAUUAAAUAAAAUUGUAAGACUUUUGAUCUUAAGAUGGUUAUACCUCGCUUCG